rnacentral:tRNA from 2 species
GCCUAGGUAGCUCAGUUGGUAGAGCAGCGGACUGAAAAUCCGCGUGUCGGUGGUUCGAAUCCGCCCCUGGGCACCA